CAGUAACCCCCAUUCGGCCAUUCCCCGAAGCCCCACUCCCAAACGAACCCUAGCCCCUCUCUCCCUACUCCCUAGGUCUCACAGCCUCGCUCUCUGCAACUCCCAUCGCCGGUGAGAGACCUCCUCCCACCACCUCGCAGCCACCGCCACCUUCCUCCCAGCGCAGCCCUUCCACUGCUCCCACCCAGGACCUCCUCGCGGACAGAGCAGCCCAGCACUGCAGCACACAGCCAGCGCCCAGCGCCCAGCAGGUCGGCACCACGCUUGCAAGUCGCACCCACCACCACCCUCAGUCCCUCGCAACUCGCAAAUCGCACCCAGCAGGCCAUGACCACCCACUCACCCAGGACCACUCGAUAGCCUAUUGCAAAACGCAGAGAAGACAGAACAGAACUCGAACGCAGCUUGGAGGAAGCACCGAAGCAGCCAUCUCUCGUCGCCGUUCCUCAACGUCCAGCCACCGUCGCCGGCCUCGCCUUCUGCCUCCGUCGCGCAGCCACUGUCUCGACGGUGCCAGUUCUGUUCCAUCGCGUCAGCCCUUCGGUCGUGCCCUGUUCCUUUCUUGCUACUGAUCUGCUCUGCUCUGUUCUGGCAUUUAGUUCUAGGUAUUAAUUUUUUUAAACUAUAAUUGUUGAAUAAUUCUUGUUACUUGUUAGUUAAUCUGUGAACCUUGCUGUUGUUA